rnacentral:rRNA from 1 species
GACGAACGCUGGCGGCGUGCUUAACACAUGCAAGUCGAACGGAAAGGCCCUGCUUUUGUGGGGUGCUCGAGUGGCGAACGGGUGAGUGACAUGUGUGUAACCUGCCCUUGACUUUGGGAUAACUUCAGGAAACUGGGGCUAAUACCGGAUAGGAUCUCCUGCAGCAUGGUGGGGGUUGGAAAGUUUCGGCGGUUGGGGAUGGACUGGCGGCUUAACAGCUUGUUGGUGGGGUAGUGGCUUACCAAGGCAUAGACGGGUCGCCGGCCUGUGAGGUGGGACGGGGACAUGGCUACUGAGGGAGGCAGCAGUGGGGAAUAGUGGGCAACGGGCGGAAGCAUGACACAGUGAUCGCGCGCGGGUGACGAAGGCGUUCGGGUUGGAAAGCCGUCUUGUGGGGUAAGAACAGCAGUCGGCUGAUACGACGCUUUAGUGACGGUAAUGAAUAAAGAAGCACCGGCUAACUACGUG